CCUACGGGAGGCAGCAGUGAGGAAUAUUGGUCAAUGGACGCAAGUCUGAACCAGCCAAGUAGCGUGCAGGAUGACGGCCCUCCGGGUUGUAAACUGCUGUUAGGUGGGAAUAAAAGGGGGCUCGUGAGCCCCGUAUUGUAUGUACCAUCAGAAAAAGGACCGGCGAAUGCCGUGCCAGCAGCCGCGGUAAUACGGAAGGUCCGGGCGUUAUCCGGAUUGAUUGGGUUUAAAGGGAGCGUAGGCCGGCUUUUAAGUCAGCGGUGAAAGUCCGCGGCUCAACCGGGGAAGUGCAGUUGAAACGGGCGGCCUUUAGUGCACACCGGGCUGCCGGUAUUCCUGGUGUAGCGGUGCAAUGCUUAGAUAUCAUGCAGACCUCCGAUCGCGAAGGCACGUGUCCGGGGUGCAACUGACGCUGCGGCUCGACCGUGCGGGUAUCAAACAGGAUUAGAUACCCUUGUCGUC
rnacentral:rRNA from 1 species